rnacentral:rRNA from 1 species
CCUACGGGAGGCAGCAGUGAGGAAUAUUGGUCAAUGGACGAGAGUCUGAACCAGCCAAGUAGCGUGAAGGAUGACUGCCCUAUGGGUUGUAAACUUCUUUUAUAUGGGAAUAAAAUGUUCCACGUGUGGGAUUUUGUAUGUACCAUAUGAAAAAGGAACGGAUAACUCCGUGCCAGCAGCGGCGGUAAUACGGAGGAUCCGAGCGUUAUCCGGAUUUAUUGGGUUUAAAGGGAGCGUAGGUGGAUUGUUAAGUCAGUUGUGAAAGUUUGCGGCUCAACCGUAAAAGUGCAGUUGAAACUGGCAGUCUUGAGUACAGUAGAGGUGGGCGGAAUUCGUGGUGUAGCGGUGAAAUGCUUAGAUAUCACGAAGAACUACGAUUGCGAAGGCAGUUCACUGGACUGCAACUGACACUGAGGCUCGAAAGUGUGGGUAUCAAACAGGAUUAGAUACCCCAGUAGUC